rnacentral:piRNA from 1 species
AAGCAUGUGACUCUGUUCUCUUACAU